rnacentral:snRNA from 13 species
GUUCUCACUUUGGAAGCACGUGUUAACAUUGGAAGCUUAAGAUUAGCAUGUGCCUUGUGAAAGGAUGACACACAAAUUCAUGAAAACAGUCCAUUGUUU